CGGAGGGAAACCGAGUCUUAACCGGGCGUUAAGUUGCAGGGUAUAGACCCGAAACCCGGUGAUCUAGCCAUGGGCAGGUUGAAGGUUGGGUAACACUAACUGGAGGACCGAACCGACUAAUGUUGAAAAAUUAGCGGAUGACCUGUGGCUGGGGGUGAAAGGCCAAUCAAACCGGGAGAUAGCUGGUUCUCCCCGAAAGCUAUUUAGGUAGCGCCUCGUGAAUUCAUCUCCGGGGGUAGAGCACUGUUUCGGCUAGGGGGCCAUCCCGGCUUACCAACCCGAUGCAAACUGCGAAUACCGGAGAAUGUUAUCACGGGAGACACACGGCGGGUGCUAACGUCCGUCGUGAAGAGGGAAACAACCCAGACCGCCAGCUAAGGUCCCAAAGUCAUGGUUAAGUGGGAAACGAUGUGGGAAGGCCCAGACAGCCAGGAUGUUGGCUUAGAAGCAGCCAUCAUUUAAAGAAAGCGUAAUAGCUCACUGGUCGAGUCGGCCUGCGCGGAAGAUGUAACGGGGCUAAACCAUGCACCGAAGCUGCGGCAGCGACGCUGAUGCGUUGUUGGGUAGGGGAGCGUUCUGUAAGCCUGCGAAGGUGUGUCGUGAGGCAUGCUGGAGGUAUCAGAAGUGCGAAUGCUGACAUAAGUAACGAUAAAGCGGGUGAAAAGCCCGCUCGCCGGAAGACCAAGGGUUCCUGUCCAACGUUAAUCGGGGCAGGGUGAGUCGACCCCUAAGGCGAGGCCGAAAGGCGUAGUCGAUGGGAAACGGGUUAAUAUUCCCGUACUUGGUGUUACUGCGAAGGGGGGACGGAGAAGGCUAUGUUGGCCGGGCGACGGUUGUCCCGGUUUAAGCGUGUAGGUGUGUGUUCCAGGUAAAUCCGGUUCACUUUAACACUGAGGCGUGAUGACGAGGCACUACGGUGCUGAAGCAACAAAUGCCCUGCUUCCAGGAAAAGCCUCUAAGCAUCAGGUAACAUCAAAUCGUACCCCAAACCGACACAGGUGGUCAGGUAGAGAAUACCAAGGCGCUUGAGAGAACUCGGGUGAAGGAACUAGGCAAAAUGGUGCCGUAACUUCGGGAGAAGGCACGCUGACACGUAGGUGAAGUGAUUUACUCAUGGAGCUGAAGUCAGUCGAAGAUACCAGCUGGCUGCAACUGUUUAUUAAAAACACAGCACUGUGCAAACACGAAAGUGGACGUAUACGGUGUGACGCCUGCCCGGUGCCGGAAGGUUAAUUGAUGGGGUCAGCGCAAGCGAAGCUCCUGAUCGAAGCCCCGGUAAACGGCGGCCGUAACUAUAACGGUCCUAAGGUAGCGAAAUUCCUUGUCGGGUAAGUUCCGACCUGCACGAAUGGCGUAAUGAUGGCCAGGCUGUCUCCACCCGAGACUCAGUGAAAUUGAACUCGCUGUGAAGAUGCAGUGUACCCGCGGCAAGACGGAAAGACCCCGUGAACCUUUACUAUAGCUUGACACUGAACAUUGAGCCUUGAUGUGUAGGAUAGGUGGGAGGCUUUGAAGUGUGGACGCCAGUCUGCAUGGAGCCGGCCUUGAAAUACCACCCUUUAAUGUUUGAUGUUCUAACGUGGACCCGUGAUCCGGGUUGCGGACAGUGUCUGGUGGGUAGUUUGACUGGGGCGGUCUCCUCCUAAAGAGUAACGGAGGAGCACGAAGGUUGGCUAAUCCUGGUCGGACAUCAGGAGGUUAGUGCAAUGGCAUAAGCCAGCUUGACUGCGAGCGUGACGGCGCGAGCAGGUGCGAAAGCAGGUCAUAGUGAUCCGGUGGUUCUGAAUGGAAGGGCCAUCGCUCAACGGAUAAAAGGUACUCCGGGGAUAACAGGCUGAUACCGCCCAAGAGUUCAUAUCGACGGCGGUGUUUGGCACCUCGAUGUCGGCUCAUCACAUCCUGGGGCUGAAGUAGGUCCCAAGGGUAUGGCUGUUCGCCAUUUAAAGUGGUACGCGAGCUGGGUUUAGAACGUCGUGAGACAGUUCGGUCCCUAUCUGCCGUGGGCGCUGGAGAACUGAGGGGGGCUGCUCCUAGUACGAGAGGACCGGAGUGGACGCAUCACUGGUGUUCGGGUUGUCAUGCCAAUGGCACUGCCCGGUAGCUAAAUGCGGAAGAGAUAAGUGCUGAAAGCAUCUAAGCACGAAACUUGCCCCGAGAUGAGUUCUCCCUGAGACUUAGAGUCUCCUGAAGGAACGUUGAAGACGACGACGUUGAUAGGCCGGGUGUGUAAGCGCAGCGAUGCGUUGAGCUAACCGGUACUAAUGAACCGUGAGGCUUAACCUUACAACGCCGAAG
rnacentral:rRNA from 1 species